GACAGCAGUAGCCACGGGAAUACGUAGGUGGCAAGCGUUGUCCGGAAUUAUUGGGCGUAAAGGGCUCGCAGGCGGUUCCUUAAGUCUGAUGUGAAAGCCCCCGGCUCAACCGGGGAGGGUCAUUGGAAACUGGGAAACUUGAGUGCAGAAGAGGAGAGUGGAAUUCCACGUGUAGCGGUGAAAUGCGUAGAGAUGUGGAGGAACACCAGUGGCGAAGGCGACUCUCUGGUCUGUAACUGACGCUGAGGAGCGAAAGCGUGGGGAGCGAACAGGAUUAGAUACCCCUGUAGUCCCUGUCUCUUAUAA
rnacentral:rRNA from 1 species